AUGUGUGGGGGUUUGGGUAUCCAGAAGAGGCAGAGGAGAUCUUUCCCUUCCAUGACCCUUCCUGAGUCGGUCAGAGGCUGGCAGUCGACCUGGUUCUACUGCCAGGACCUCGCAACUCUAGGCCAGUCGACUAGACUUCCCCAUUUCACCUUUGAUCGUGUUCAGACUCCUUCCUCGCUGAAAGUGACUACUGCUGAGAGUGUGGAAACAAACAUGCUAGUUGAGAGGGUGGUUCAAUUGAUCAAUCAAGGCGUCACUGGCAUGGAUUUGCUGGAGGUAUUCCUCAGUCGACGCAUCCAGCUGCUCCAGGCUCGUGACCACCCUAUGUGGAUGUAUUCUGGAGCCAACAACACCGCUCGGGUUCAUCUAGAGGAAGUACCGGCUAAGACAGUGGCCCCGUGGUUGAGGAGUAUUACAGGAAACAAGGACAACCCAGAGGCGCCAGGAAAUUCGACCCCUUUAGUGACAGCAACCAGCCAGACAAGGUUUAUACUGAGAUGUACUCGAUGCCCAAUGGUGAAAAGGCUCUGGAGAAAGACCAGGCAAGAGAAGACAACGCGGAGGAGAGCGGUGAUUGGCAAUCUCCGGACGAUGAGGAUGAAGAGGAGAGCGACGAUUAGGACGACGAAGAGAUGGUCGACUCAUCACCUCGCUCGGAACGUCGAUCCAAGCUACUCCAUGAUCCAGCGGGUGGGCGCAGCAAGACCGUGGCCCCAAGCACCCAAACGCAGAAGCGCACUCAGACUUCGACCCCGGAGCCGACGGAAGAAGUCGCCAAGCAGUCCAAGGUCGUUCCUCCAAAAGCUUGGAAGAAUCUGCCCAGGAUUAAGAUGGAUGUUCCUGUUGCCUCUGGCCCAACCUCUGCCGCGACUGAUAUGGAUGUUGACAAGGCCCCAGGAGAUGAGGAAGCCGAUGACGUGGCCACCUCCAGAGCUGCUCCACGAGACGUUGUCAUGCUUCUAG
rnacentral:rRNA from 1 species